CCCUUCUCAAUUGGUCCCUCCCCUGCAAGCCACAGCUGGCGGAUCCUGCCCACCUAGGCCCCUCCCUGGGAAAGGUUCCACAGGGAGUUGUUGACUGUCGCUGCAUCCUUGGCUUGUGCCAGCCACCCUGCCACAGUGAUAGGGAGUGAUAUUGCCCCCGAACUCCAGUGAGUACGUCUGCUACAGGUACUUCUCAACUGUACCUGCUCCUCCAUCUCCUUCUCCCCCUCCAGCAGUCUCCUCGUUUUGGGAACCGGAAAUAUGACUACCCUACUGAUAGCAAGGAGCUUGGAGUGGUUUAUUCCAUUAUAGGCAUAAUGAUCCAAAUUCAUCCCUGGGAUAACCCAACACUUCAGAGAAGUUCCACCAGGGACAGGGCUUGAUCCUACCCAGGGCAGGUGGGAUAACACUAAUGAAUGGGAUCCUAAAUGGCACUGAACACAGUACGGCAAUCCUGCUGGUGCAGCUCUCCAGAUGUGCCAGGUGCAGAGAGCUACAUACGCAUGGCCGCCAUGCAGCAGAGCCGUCCAGAAACACCCACACCCUCUAGGAGUGUGCAAAGACUGUUAUGGAUGUGUGAUCCAGGAGGCUGCAGGAACUGGAACUGGUUUCCAAACUACAUUUUCAAAAUGUUACCUUAGUGUGAAAAUAGUGUGUUCUGAAAACUAAAAUUCAUUAACUCUUUAAGGCAGACAUUUAUGAAUGACCACAUAAGCAGGUUCUUAACUUAAAACAUGUGCAUACGCCCCAUUGAAGUAAAUCUCUUCCCAAUUGCUAUGAAAGUGAGUGGGACUAUCUGCAUGAGUAAAACGAGUAGAAUUUGAAUCUAUAUCAAGAUUUCAGUUACUGUCACUCAUUCUAAUAAAAACAUCAAAAUUUAUGAAAAAUUAAGCAACAAUCAAUUGCAAGUAUAAUCCUCUGAGAAAUUAUGGAAAUUCCCCUUGUAAACAGGGAUGAAACUGAAGAUGAAUGAGUUGAAGGAAGGGAACGCCACUCCCUUUGUUAAAAUAAAAUGUGGCUGUAUAUAUAUAAAAUGCAAUUAGGAAGAGAUUAGAAAAGAAAUCAAGUUCCAUUUGCUACAGGUUAACACUUUUCUUAUUGAAAUAGAAUUAUUAUGCUUUUAAGCAUCAAGAAAACAAAGCAGAGAUAUAAAUCUCAUGUUAAUUAAAAAUGCUUUUCUCUGCUUGGCUGUUUAAUCUAGCUGUCAUUUGUUGCAUCUUAUUCAUUCAAGAAAGCACUUAAACUAGUGCUUAAAUUCCUCUCUGUUCAACUUUAGCACUUAAGUGCUCUCCUGAAUGAGAUAAUAAAAACCGAUCAGUUGGUACCAAUUAUCUUAUAGGACCUGAGUGUUCAGGAAAUUCACACCAGUGUAAUUAUUAUCACCAGUGCAAAGUCCUAAAGUAUAUACACAGCAUCAACACAAAUAUACCGUGUGGUGACUGCAUCGGAGUUAUAUGGAGUGUGAUUUGUAUCUGUUUUUUUUUGGGGGGGGGGGGGGGACGGGGAAAUCACUCACUCAAUAGGAUUCUAUUUAACUGGGUGUUAAAAAAAUAGUUUUAAGUGCAUAAUUUAAAAUUUAAAUCUCCAGUCAGUUUUAGGGAGGGAAUUUCUUUAACGUGAUCCACUAUCAAUUAGUGCAUAGUGCAUGCUUGGAAUAUUUUGACAGGUUUCAACAAGCACUUUUAAAAAAAAAUUCCAAGGUUAGCAUUGCCUGUAGCAGGAAAAUGUUAUUUAAUAUGCUUGUGUACCAAAUGCGUAAAGUAAUUAAUUCAGGUUUGCAAUUAAUCCAAUGUAUUCUAAAUAUAUGGUUGUUCUAUUAUGUUUUGUGCUUUUUGCUAUUAUAUGAUAUAUAAUCAGUUCAUCCAACCAAAGGGAGAUUUUUUUCAAGAUGUUUUACAAGCCACUUAUCUCCCUGUUGUUUUGCUAACAGUCAGUGGCAAAAUUACUGCACACAUGCAAGAGUUAGGAAUUCACAUGUUUCCCUGCUAGCUGCUUCCACAAAAUGUUUUUGCUAAUUAUGCAAUACUCAAUGGGGCUUCUAAAUGGAAAAAGGGGGGAGGAAAUCUCCAUGGUAAGACUCAGCAGGAUAAGAGGAAAACUUCUUUGCUCAACCUUUGAACAUAUGCAGAGUCACUAAAACAAAAAUUUGCAGCAUAAGCAACAGGUCUGCUGUCCAAUCCAAAAAUCUGCGGUUUGGCAGCUACAUGUGUUUUCUCUCUUGUUAGCAAUGCAGCUUGUUGAAAUAAAUCAGAUUUCUACUAUAAAUAAAGAGCAUCAAAAUACAAAAGGGUGAAAUCUUAGCCCUGCUGAAGUAAAUGGUAAAAUUCAAAUUGAUUUCACUAGAGCCAGGAUUUCACCCAAAGGUGCUGGUCCUG